rnacentral:rRNA from 1 species
CGAACGCUGGCGGCGCGCCUCAUGCAUGCAAGUCGAACGAGAACUAGUUCAUUCGUAAGAUUGAAUUAGGGACAGUGGCGAACGGGUGCGUAACACGUGAGAAACCUGCCCUGGAGAUCGGGAUAGCCCGAGGAAACUCGGAUUAAUACCGAAUACCCUCAACGGACCGCAUGGUCUGAUGAGGAAAUGGUCCGCUGCUCCAGGAUGGUCUCGCGGCCUAUCAGCUAGUUGGUGAGGUAAUGGCUCACCAAGGCUCCGACGGGUAGCUGGUCUGAGAGGACGAUCAGCCACACUGGGACUGAGACACGGCCCAGACUCCUACGGGAGGCAGCAGCAGGGAAUAUUGCACAAUGGGCGAAAGCCUGAUGCAGCGACGCCGCGUGCGGGAUGAAGGCCUUCGGGUUGUAAACCGCUUUCAGGAGGGACGAAAAUGACGGUACCUCCAGAAGAAGGCCCGGCCAACUAC